rnacentral:rRNA from 1 species
AUUGAACGCUGGCGGCAUGCCUUACACAUGCAAGUCGAACGGUAACGCGGGGCAACCUGGCGACGAUUGGCGAAGGGGGGAGUAAUGCACCGGAACGUGCCUGGUAGUGGGGGAUAACUGCUCGAAAGAGCAGCUAAUACCGCAUACGACUUGAGGGGGAAAGGGGGGGAUCGCAAGACCCCUUGCAAUAAGAGGGGCCGAUGUCGGAUUAGCUAGUUGGUGGGGUAAAGUCCCACCAAGGCAACGAUCCGUAGCUGGUCUGAGAGGACGACCAGCCACACUAGGACUGAGACACGGCCCAGACUCCUACGGGAGGCAGCAGUGGGGAAUUUUGGACAAUGGACGCAAGUCUGAUCCAGCCAUGCCGCGUGCGGGAAGAAGGCCUUCGGGUUGUAAACCGCUUUUGUCAGGGAAGAAAUCUUCUGAGUUAAUACCUCGGGAGGAUGACGGUACCUGAAGAAUAAGCACCGGCUAACUACGUGCCAGCAGCCGCCGCGGUAA